GCUACAGAGAUGUUUGUCCUUCUGGAAGGUUCUCCACAGAGGAGCUCUGGAGCGCUUUGAGUGACCAUUGGGUUUUGUCACCUCCCUAAUGAAAAUAACGUUAACGCUAAAUUGUCGCCCAUAUUGAAAAUCUUAGCUAGGCAAGCAAAUAUUAACGUAACUAAGAUUGUAGACAAAUUAUCGACUUGUCAGUCAUUAUCUUCGCAGUCUUUGGCGCCCGUUCUAUUUCAUUUCUAUUGUCAACAGAAAGGACUCCAAAGACAGCAACGCUAAAUAAUCGACUGUCAGUCAUUGGGGCACAUUUACACCUUAACACUGAGGAUAAUAGUCAUUGUAACAGCAUGACCUUGAGUGUGAUGUUGAUUUUAUACAACAGUUCUACAAGCGCCAUUUAUUAGUUGACAGUAAUGAGCACCAAAAUAUUUUAUUUGGCUCCGCCAACAAGUUCCACAACGGAACUGGAGCCAAGCUACUUUCUGUAGGUCUACACGUUACCGUCCUCUCAUAAUCCUUCAUAAUUUAACUCAAAUGUUAUUUGUGGGAAUAUGUUCAUCUUUGCGGUGCGAAGUUUGUAACAAUCUAAGAUAACGAUCGUUAAUGUAAUUAACGGUUAUUAGAACACCUGUAAAGCGGAGUGAUGCAUGUAUAGUUAAAAGUCCGUGCUGUUAUACUCUACUCCAAUCAAAUUACUUGGUCGUAUUAUAAAUACUUGUGAACAUUCAGUUAUUUACGCUCUUUUCAUCGAAAGCAGUGGGACCGUUUUACUUGCUUUUAGUAACGUUCAAGAUGCUUUGGCGGUGCGUUAUCUGCUGCGUUUUCAUUACUUUUUAAUUGAAACUGAGCCAUAUCAAUAUUGCACAGUCGCAGCCCUGAUUUCCAGUUGCUCUGUGGUAUUGACGGAUGCACUGAGGAAUAUAGUGUACAAUUCCUUCUAUCAUGUAAAGAGAAGACACCUUCAACACCUACUUGAAGGCACCAGACCAGGUGAACAGCCAUCGGAGGAAAGCCCACUACCACCGGAACAAGACAACAUUCAUCCCGAUCAGCUUCUAGCUAACUCCAAACACCUGACUUGGAUGAAGGGCAAAGGGGCAUUGACCAACAUGGAGCUGUCAGUGCAACAACACAUGCCACUGCUUUUGUGAUAAAUGCCAGAGCCAAGCAUUGUCUCACAGGUAAGAUGUUUUUUCUGAACAGAGCACAGCAUUUGGUUAGUUGCAUUAUGCAGAACAUUUUGUAGUGGUUCAGUGAUGGUUAAGUUUAUUCUUAGUGCUAGGUUGUCCGCCUUACAAUUGUUGAUCCCUUAUGUUAAUGUCAUAAGCAAAUUCUGUAUACAUGGUGUUCCAACCUCCAUGAUUGAUCUUUCUCUCUCACUCAGAAAGGCGUGAAUGACAUGGUUGCUGGGGUACAGCAGUAUCAAUCAUCACUAUUGGACAACCUCAGGAAGCAGGUGGAGGGAGUGCUAAAGUAGAGGUCGACCGAUUUAAUUAGGGCCGAUUUCAAGUUUUCAUAAUCGGAAAUCGAUAUUUGAGCGCCGAUUUUAAACACUUUAUAUAUAUAUAUAUAUAUAUAUAAUACACCUUAUUUAAUUAGGCAAGUCAGU